rnacentral:rRNA from 1 species
AUACGUAGGGCGCGAGCGUUGUCCGGAUUUAUUGGGCGUAAAGAGCUCGUAGGCGGUUUGUCGCGUCUGCUGUGAAAUCCUCUGGCUUAACUGGGGGCGUGCAGUGGGUACGGGCAGACUGGAGUGCGGUAGGGGAGACUGGAAUUCCUGGUGUAGCGGUGGAAUGCGCAGAUAUCAGGAGGAACACCGGUGGCGAAGGCGGGUCUCUGGGCCGUUACUGACGCUGAGGAGCGAAAGCAUGGGGAGCGAACAGGAUUAGAUACCCUGGUAGUCCACGCCGUAAACGUUGGGAACUAGGUGUGGGGUCCAUUCCACGGGUCCUGUGCCGUAGCUAACGCAUUAAGUGCCCCGCCUGGGGAGUACGGCCGCAAGGCUAAA